GAUGAACGCUGGCGGCGUGCCUAAUACAUGCAAGUCGAGCGAACAGACGAGGAGCUUGCUCCUCUGACGUUAGCGGCGGACGGGUGAGUAACACGUGGAUAACCUACCUAUAAGACUGGGAUAACUUCGGGAAACCGGAGCUAAUACCGGAUCAUAUAUUGAACCGCAUGGUUCAAUAGUGAAAGACGGUUUUGCUGUCACUUAUAGAUGGAUCCGCGCCGCAUUAGCUAGUUGGUAAGGUAACGGCUUACCAAGGCAACGAUGCGUAGCCGACCUGAGAGGGUGAUCGGCCACACUGGAACUGAGACACGGUCCAGACUCCUACGGGAGGCAGCAGUAGGGAAUCUUCCGCAAUGGGCGAAAGCCUGACGGAGCAACGCCGCGUGAGUGAUGAAGGUCUUCGGAUUGUAAAACUCUGUUAUUAGGGAAGAAAAAAAGUGUAAGUAACUAUGCACGUCUUGACGGUACCUAAACAGAAAGCCACGGCUAACUACGUG
rnacentral:rRNA from 1 species